UCCUGGCUUAGGACGAACGCUGGCGGCGUGCCUAACACAUGCAAGUCGAGCGAUGAAGUUCUUCGGAACGGAUUAGCGGCGGACGGGUGAGUAACACGUGGGUAACCUGCCUUGUAGAGGGGGAUAGCCUUCCGAAAGGAAGAUUAAUACCGCAUAACAUCUUUUUAUCGCAUGGUAGAAAGAUCAAAAGGAGUAAUCCGCUACAAGAUGGACCCGCGGCGCAUUAGCUAGUUGGUGAGGUAACGGCUCACCAAGGCGACGAUGCGUAGCCGACCUGAGAGGGUGAUCGGCCACAUUGGAACUGAGACACGGUCCAGACUCCUACGGGAGGCAGCAGUGGGGAAUAUUGCGCAAUGGGGGGAAAAACCCCUGACGCAGCAACGCCGCGUGAAUGAAGAAGGCCUUAGGGUUGUAAAGUUCUGUUUACGGGGACGAUAAUGACGGUACCCGUGGAGGAAGCCACGGCUAACUACGUGCCAGCAGCCGC
rnacentral:rRNA from 1 species